AUGGAAGAGAAGCGGUGCAUCCGGGGCAGAAUUGGCUGUGGUGUGGAAGAGAGGAAGACAUCACGGAAGGAAUCUCAACCCAGGCGUCUCCAUCUCCAACCACAGAAAAGUCAAGCUCUGACUUGGGCUGGGGGGAGGCAAGAACUGAAGAGCCAGCCAAGGACAACAAGUAUGGUGAAGACAGAGAUGAGGAAGAAGGCCCUGGAAUAUUGGAGGUAAUCUGCCAAAGAGAAGGAGAGACUUGGUUAGUCCAGCUGGGAAGCUCUCCUUAAGAAAACCAGACAGAGUCUUAAGAGAAGGGAGUGAAGACUAAGGAGGAUGAAACUGAGCUUGCUAUGUGGCAUCCAGGGCACAAGGUGGAUUCUUUACCAUCUGAGAAGCUUUCAUGGUGGAGCAGAAUCUUCAGAACUGGUGUCUGGACACAAACCCACCUUCUCCCUGGGUUGCUGGGUUCCUCAAUAAAGCAAACCUUCUUUUUCCAACAACAACAACAAAAGAAGAAGAAGAAAGAGCAGAGUAGAGAAGUCAUCUGGUAAUGAAAUGUUCCAAGAGGGCUCCCCUCACUUCACUCUAGUUCCUUCAGCAAAAAUCAAAGCCAGGACAGGGUAGCAGUGCUCUGAAGAGAUCUAGCCCCUUUUAACUCUGAAGGAGCCAGAUUGAGUGGAUGGAGAUGGGAAGUAGUAGACAUUGACUUUGAGGAUGAGGAAGGUGCUACUGGAGACAAGCAAAGGAAGCAGCCCACUUAUUUAGCCAAAUUUAAACCUCCAAGCUGCUGCCAUUGUGCCUUCAUUCCAGGAGCUUAAGAUCAAAACUCCCCCAGGCUCAGAGGAAGUGCCCAAAGGAGGUGGUUUUGGAAUACAAGAGAUUCUGGAUGGAUACCUAGUGCUCUGGAGAGGAAGUUCUGCAAAGAGUAACCUUCUUUGCAUUUAGAUUCACUCGUACUUGGUUGAUACACCAGAAUCAAAUAUCCCUACACAGCUUGUGGGUGUUUAUUGAGUGAUGGUUCCCAGAGUCCUGGCUCUGGACUAAAGACUCAGGCUUUCUUCUCUACCCUCUGCAAAACAGUUCAAGUUCCUCUCACUGGCAACACACAUUCCAUUCCUUUACAUUAUGGUCUGAUCUCACUUAUGUUAUAUAGGAAACUAGCAGAAAGGUCUGUUGCAUGCUGAGACCUAACAGUAGAAAUGAAGGAUUGCAUCCUUUACUCCCAUUCUUUCUUCAUCCCAUCACCAAUACAGCACAGAGGUUAUCAGUUAUCUAGAACCAGGGGAAGAAAGAGGUAGAACAACUGCCUGCAGUAAGUCUAGGAUGGAGGAACAGGAACACACACGUUUUUGAGCCCAUCUGAGAUAGCCCCAGUGAAAGUCUCAGAGAUGACUGGGGACACCAUGGGAGAGGUGGCUAAAUUUUUGCAGUCCAGUAGGUAAAAGUUUGUAGUUCUUGAACUUGGGCAAUAAUAGCUGAUAGUGUCCACAUGGGGUCUCACUGAUAAGAUGGCUCAUAAUGUCGACCUUGCAAACAAAGAAUAAAUCACAGUGACCCUUGAGACUGACCAAAUUCCCCAAAUGGCAUCCUGUUAUCUCAUUGGCGCCUAUCUUCUCAAAGCUGCAAGACCACCAGAUUCCAGAGCUCCAGCUACGUGACCAUCCCUUCAGAGAAUUUUUCAUUGGUGGGGUAUAAGAAGGACUCCGUCAGAAAGGGAGGACGCUGGUUCUC